rnacentral:rRNA from 1 species
UGCAGUCGAACGAUAGAUAGAAGCUUGCUUUUAUCGAAAGUGGCGCACGGGUGCGUAACGCGUAUGCAACCUACCUUAAUCUGGGGGAUAGCCCGGAGAAAUCCGGAUUAAUACCGCAUAAAAUCACAGGAUGGCAUUAUCCAAUGAUCAAACAUUUAUGGGAUUGAGAUGGGCAUGCGUGUCAUUAGCUAGUUGGCGGGGUAACGGCCCACCAAGGCGACGAUGACUAGGGGAUCUGAGAGGAUGGCCCCCCACACUGGUACUGAGACACGGACCAGACUCCUACGGGAGGCAGCAGUAAGGAAUAUUGGUCAAUGGAGGCAACUCUGAACCAGCCAUGCCGCGUGCAGGAAGACUGCCCUAUGGGUUGUAAACUGCUUUUAUCCGGGAAUAAACCUAUCUACGUGUAGAUAGCUGAAUGUACCGGAAGAAUAAGGAUCGGCUAACUCCGUGCCAGCAGCCGCGGUAAUACGGAGGAUCCAAGCGUAGUAUCCGGAUUUAUUGGGUUUAAAGGGUGCGUAGGCGGCCUGUUAAGUCAGGGGUGAAAGACGGUAGCUCAACUAUCGCAGUGCCCUUGAUACUGAUGGGCUUGAAUGGACUAGAGGUAGGCGGAAUGAGACAAGUAGCGGUGAAAUGCAUAGAUAUGUCUCAGAACACCGAUUGCGAAGGCAGCUUACUAUGGUCCUAUUGACGCUGAGGCACGAAAGCGUGGGGAUCAAACAGGAUUAGAUACCCUGGUAGUCCACGCCCUAAACGAUGAACACUCGCUGUUGGCGAUACACAGUCAGCGGCUAAGCGAAAGCGUUAAGUGUUCCACCUGGGGAGUACGCUCGCAAGAGUGAAACUCAAAGGAAUUGACGGGGGCCCGCACAAGCGGAGGAGCAUGUGGUUUAAUUCGAUGAUACGCGAGGAACCUUACCCGGGCUUGAAAGUUAGUGAAUCAUUUAGAGAUAAAUGAGUGAGCAAUCACACGAAACUAGGUGCUGCAUGGCUGUCGUCAGCUCGUGCCGUGAGGUGUUGGGUUAAGUCCCGCAACGAGCGCAAACCCCUAUGUUUAGUUGCCAGCACGUUAUGGUGGGGACUCUAAACAGACUGCCUGUGCAAACAGAGAGGAAGGAGGGGACGACGUCAAGUCAUCAUGGCCCUUACGUCCGGGGCUACACACGUGCUACAAUGGAUGGUACAGAGGGCAGCUACAUAGCAAUAUGAUGCGAAUCUCACAAAGCCAUUCACAGUUCGGAUUGGGGUCUGCAACUCGACCCCAUGAAGUUGGAUUCGCUAGUAAUCGCGUAUCAGCAAUGACGCGGUGAAUACGUUCCCGGGCCUUGUACACACCGCCCGUCAAGCCAUGGAAGUUGGGGGUACCUAAAGUAUGUAACCGCAAGGAGCGUCCUAGGGUAAAACCGAUACU